AGAGUUUGAUCCUGGCUCAGGAUGAACGCUAGCGGCAGGCUUAACACAUGCAAGUCGAGGGGCAGCGGGGAGGAAGCUUGCUUUCUCCGCCGGCGACCGGCGCACGGGUGAGUAACACGUAUGCAACCUGCCCCUGUCAGGGGGACAACCCGCCGAAAGGCGGGCUAAACCCGCGUACAUGCCACCGGGGCAUCCCGGAGGCAGGAAAGGCUUCGGCCGGACAGGGAUGGGCAUGCGGCGCAUUAGGCAGUAGGCGGGGUAACGGCCCACCUAACCGACGAUGCGUAGGGGUUCUGAGAGGAAGGUCCCCCACACUGGUACUGAGACACGGACCAGACUCCUACGGGAGGCAGCAGUGAGGAAUAUUGGUCAAUGGUCGGGAGACUGAACCAGCCAAGCCGCGUGAGGGAGGAAGGUACAGAGUAUCGUAAACCUCUUUUGUCAGGGAACAAAGGCGGGGACGUGUCCCCGGAUGAGUGUACCUGAAGAAAAAGCAUCGGCUAACUCCGUGCCAGCAGCCGCGGUAAUACGGAGGAUGCGAGCGUUAUCCGGAUUUAUUGGGUUUAAAGGGUGCGCAGGCGGUCUGUUAAGUCAGCGGUCAAAGCCCGGGGCUCAACCCCGGCCCGCCGUUGAAACUGGCAGUCUCGAGUUGGAGAGAAGUAUGCGGAAUGCGCGGUGUAGCGGUGAAAUGCAUAGAUAUCGCGCAGAACUCCGAUUGCGAAGGCAGCAUGCCGGCUCCACACUGACGCUGAGGCACGAAAGCGUGGGUAUCGAACAGGAUUAGAUACCCUGGUAGUCCACGCAGUAAACGAUGAAUGCUGGCUGUCCGGGGGGACUGACCCCUGGGUGGCGAAGCGAAAGCGAUAAGCAUUCCACCUGGGGAGUACGCCGGCAACGGUGAAACUCAAAGGAAUUGACGGGGGCCCGCACAAGCGGAGGAACAUGUGGUUUAAUUCGAUGAUACGCGAGGAACCUUACCCGGGCUCAAACGGGGAGUGGCGCAGGCAGAGACGCCUGUUUCCCACGGGACACUCCCCGAGGUGCUGCAUGGUUGUCGUCAGCUCGUGCCGUGAGGUGUCGGCUUAAGUGCCAUAACGAGCGCAACCCCCGCGUGCAGUUGCUAACAGUCAACGCUGAGGACUCUGCACGGACUGCCGGCGCAAGCCGCGAGGAAGGCGGGGAUGACGUCAAAUCAGCACGGCCCUUACGUCCGGGGCGACACACGUGUUACAAUGGGUGGUACAGCGGGAAGCCAGGCGGCGACGCCGAGCGGAACCCGAAAUCCACUCUCAGUUCGGAUCGGAGUCUGCAACCCGACUCCGUGAAGCUGGAUUCGCUAGUAAUCGCGCAUCAGCCAUGGCGCGGUGAAUACGUUCCCGGGCCUUGUACACACCGCCCGUCAAG
rnacentral:rRNA from 1 species